rnacentral:rRNA from 1 species
UACGUAGGUGGCAAGCGUUGUCCGGAUUUAUUGGGCGUAAAGCGAGCGCAGGCGGUUCUUUAAGUCUGAUGUGAAAGCCCCCGGCUCAACCGGGGAGGGUCAUUGGAAACUGGAGAACUUGAGUGCAGAAGAGGAGAGUGGAAUUCCACGUGUAGCGGUGAAAUGCGUAGAUAUGUGGAGGAACACCAGUGGCGAAGGCGACUCUCUGGUCUGUAACUGACGCUGAGGCUCGAAAGCGUGGGAAGCAAACAGG